rnacentral:lncRNA from 1 species
UUAUAUUUUUAGGUACAAAUGUAUAGAUUUAUCUCAGCUAUCACUAGUUUUGAUCUAACAAACCAGCCUUUCAAAAUUUUAGUUUUGCUAUCUAAUCUUUUAGUUUAUUUGAUUUGAACCAAUUAAUAACUCUUUUAACUUCAAAACAUAAAUUUGUCAUUUAUUUUUACCGACUUGAUUAGCAUAUUUUAUACCACUCAUAAAACUACAAAUUCAUUAAAAUAACCAAUUAGUGUAAAUUUUAUACCAAAAGGGUAAUCAAAUGAAUUUCAAUCCAACAAAUUAAAAGAUUGGAUAAUAAAAUUAAAAUUUAAAAUAUUAGGCGGUUGAAUCAAAAUGGUUUAUAUAUAGUUCAAAUAAGUUCUGUAAUUUUUUGCCUAUUUAUAAAUAAAAGCCUAGGAGUAUUUCUCUUCCAAAAAAAAUAAAACCUCAAAAUAAAUUGAAAUAAAAAAAAAUCUCUACACAAACAUAUAUGGCCUUUUCUUCUUAAUUAUCUCUUUAUUAAUUAUUUCCCUUCAAAACAAGUAAAGCAAAUUCUAUUCAUUAAAAUCCUUAUCUACAUAACAAUAAACUAUAAUUAAUGCACAUUACAUAUAUAACCAGUGCUUAAAAGAGAAAAUUAAAAAUUUUGAAAGGAAGAACUUGGGGAUUGAACUCCAAAAUUUACAUUUACAUCAUCAUGAGAUCAUGACGGUCGCAGAGUCGAGCCGUUCGAGCCGGCCCCAGAUCGCGCGUGACGGCAGCGACAACCCCCGGCCGGAGACGAUCUGAUCGCGAAUCUGCUGCAGGUUUGCGACGAGCCGCACCAGACGGCGGAGCGGCGCGAAUAUGAGGGUGAAGGGCAGCAGCCAGAUGCCCAGCUCCAGCAGCAGCAGCAUGGCUUGCUAGCUAGCACUUUCCUCCUGGCCUGCAGCUCCUCUUCAAAUAAUUUUCAGUAACAUCUAUUCAUUCUCCCUGCAUCUCUCUCUCUCUCUCUCUCUCUCUCUCUCUCUCUCUCUCUCUCUCUCCUUUCUAUAGAUAGAUAGAUGAGAGAAACAGUUACAAGUAGUAACCAACCUGAAUGAUUUUGCCCUUUUUGGUCAAUUCCUAACUUCCAAGUUGCUUACAAUGUGGCCAAAAGGAAGCAUCAAGAGUGUGUGAAUAUAUAAAUAUUAGGGUGCGUUUGGUUCGCAUUAUGAAAGAUUACUAGAAAUAAAAGAUAUUCGAGAAUUUUAUUCAUAUUCAUCCUAUUACUAAGAAUGUGAAAUUUUUGUAUUUGGUUCGCACAGUAAUAUUAAUUAGCCAUGUUAUUAAAUAUUGCAAAAAAUAUACAAUUAAUUAAUUAAUUUAUUUAAUUAAUUUUAGAUAAUGUUACCAAAAAUUUUAACAUCUUUUUAGAAAAGAGAGAGAGAGAGUAUAAGUUAGAGAGAGAGAGCAUAUUUAAAAAAAAAGAAAGAAAAAUAUAGUCGAAAUUAGAGGGAGUGAGAGAGUUGAAAUUUUAGAAAGAGAGAGAGAGAGAAAGCUUAGUUUAGAGAGAGAAAAAAAAAAUGAAUUUUAGAGAAAAAAAUAAGUUUAGAGAGAGAUAUAAAGUUAGAGUGUAAAGAAAAAUAAUAUCAAUUAGACGGCGGGUAGGAAGAAAGAAAGAGAUUAGACAUAUUAUGAUUACCCCAAUCCAUUAAUAUAAGGAUACCCACCCUCCCUCAAGGGAAUGAGAUUAGUACUUUGGGGUGAAUCUUAUUCCCAAGUGAAUCCAAUAUUACCAACUAGAUUACUUAGUGCGUUUAGCCAAACACCGUCAUAUUUUUUUUAUUCUCAUUAGAUUACUAGGAAUCUUUAAAAGAUAGCACGAACCAAACGCACCCUUAGGGUAAACUUCAAAUACCACCCUAUAAUUUUGUGCUUUUUUUCUUAAAACCCUGUGGUUUAAAGUGUAUCACUUUAGUACACUAUGGUUUCAUUUUUAUCUUUCCGUCAGCACCUCCGUUAAAUCAUAUACAAAAAACUUCAGAUACCCCACCUAUAGUUUAUCGAAUAUACACUUUAGUAUCCGGUGAUUUUUCAAAUUUUCACUUUAGUAUCCUGUGGUUUUACUUUAUCACUGAUUUAACGAAAAAAUUAAUGCAGCGAAUAAUGAAAACAGAAAAACGAAAUCACAAAGUACUGGAAUGGUACAUUUUAAAUCAUAGGGUACUAAAGUGAGAAAGUGUGAAACCAUAAAAGUGAUAUUUGAUAUUUUUCCUAAAUAUUAAAAUAAUAAAAUUGUAUGUGGACUAUUUAAGUAAACUAUCUAAUCUUUAAAAAUUUUGAUUUUACUAUCCAAAUUUUUAAUUUGUUUGAUUUGAGCUAUCAGCAGUAUUUUGACUUCAAAUUUUAAGUAGUUGCGAGAAUUAUAUGAAGUUUAAUAACUAAAUCUGAAAAGAUAAACAAUACAUUUAAAAUUUGAAGUCAAAUUAUCGUUGGUUGAAUUAAAUCAAACAAAUUGAAAGGUUGGAUAGUAAAAAAAAAUUAAAAGGUUGGAUAAUUGAAUAUGGUUCUUAGUUCAGGUAAUCUAUAUAUUUUUUAGCUGUUAAAAAUACCAGUG